rnacentral:rRNA from 1 species
GGUGGUAAUGCCGGAUGCUCCAGUUGAUCGCAUGGUCUUCUGGGAAAGCUUUCGCGGUAUGGGAUGGGGUCGCGUCCUAUCAGCUUGACGGCGGGGUAACGGCCCACCGUGGCUUCGACGGGUAGCCGGCCUGAGAGGGCGACCGGCCACAUUGGGACUGAGAUACGGCCCAGACUCCUACGGGAGGCAGCAGUGGGGAAUAUUGCACAAUGGGCGCAAGCCUGAUGCAGCGACGCCGCGUGAGGGAUGGAGGCCUUCGGGUUGUAAACCUCUUUUAUCGGGGAGCAAGCGAGAGUGAGUUUACCCGUUGAAUAAGCACCGGCUAACUACGUGCCAGCAGCCGCGGUAAUACGUAGGGUGCAAGCGUUAUCCGGAAUUAUUGGGCGUAAAGGGCUCGUAGGCGGUUCGUCGCGUCCGGUGUGAAAGUCCAUCGCUUAACGGUGGAUCCGCGCCGGGUACGGGCGGGCUUGAGUGCGGUAGGGGAGACUGGAAUUCCCGGUGUAACGGUGGAAUGUGUAG